GCUCUUAUAGCCCAAUGGCAGAGGCAUCAGGUUUAGGUCCUGACAAGUGUCGGUUCGAAUCCGACUAAGAGCA
rnacentral:tRNA from 1 species